ensembl:misc_RNA Metazoa_SRP Metazoan signal recognition particle RNA
GCCAGGCGUGGUGGCUCACGCCUGUAAUCCCAGGACUCUGGGAGGCCGAGGUGGGUGGAUCACCAGAGGUCAGGAGUUCAAGACUAGCCUGGCCAACAUGGUGAAACCCCAUCUCUA